UACAGAGGUCUCAAGCGUUUGUUCGGAUUCAUUGGGCGUAAAGGGUGCGUAGGUGGCGUGGUAAGUCGGGUGUGAAAUUUCGGAGCUUAACUCCGAAACUGCAUUCGAUACUGCCGUGCUUGAGGACUGGAGAGGAGACUGGAAUUUACGGUGUAGCAGUGAAAUGCGCAGAUAUCAGGAGGAACACCCGGUGGCGAAAGGCGGGGUCUCUGGGGCCGUAAACUGACGCUGGAGGCACGAAAAGCGUGGGGGAGC
rnacentral:rRNA from 1 species